AUGCAAAUAACUCUGGGGGAUGAUUUCAGCGCGGAUAAAUAAAAUGUCUAAAAACCGAGAUAUUCGCCGUAAAGAAAAAGUUCCACCCCGAUGUAUUGGAACGUCAAUUUGAAGGUCGUCUAAUGAUGGGGGAUUUCGCACAAGAGUCGAAAAGAGCACCGAAAUCAAUGAGUCCUCCACAAUUUUGCGUAGUUCAAUGCGCAUGCAUGUUGUCGCCCCUGAUGAUGAUGAUGACGUCAUCCCCAAUACUACCUUGUACGUGUCAGGGCUGGGAGAGCUUCUCGCUCGUCUUACAAUUCAGAUUUCCCCGUGAAGAAUGCGGAUGGAUUGUAAAGUUUAUGUGGGCAACCUUGGCAAUAAUGCUGCCAAGCAUGAACUAGAAUCAGCAUUUUCCAAAUAUGGUCCAUUAGUCAAUGUGUGGGUGGCGCGUAAUCCUCCUGGAUUUGCGUUUGUCGAGUUUGAAGACCCAAGAGAUGCUGAAGAUGCAGUGCGAGCCUUGGAUGGAGCGCGGUUGUGUGGUGUCCGUGUCCGUGUUGAAAUGUCAACAGGCCGAUCUAGGCGUGAGCGUUACCGUUCCCCACCUCGCCGAAGGAGAUCUAGGACUAUCUCGCCCAAAUUACUUCUUGUUCCACCACCACCACCAUCUACUACUCCUCCUACUGUUGCUACCACACCACCACCACCACCACAACCACCACCACCACCACCACCACAAGUACUUCCACCACCACCACCACCACCACUGCUAGCUUCAGCGUCUGCCUACUUGUACCGUGGGCUUCUAGUAUUGGAUUGUAAGGGAGGAUGUUACCCCCCCACCCUCUCCGGGGGUCACUUCCUUUCAUCUUCUUCAUCAUCUGAUCUUUUAGCUGGUGAUGUCACUUGAUGCUCAGUCAGUCAGGUCUUGACUCUGGACGGUUGAGGCAUGUUCUUCGGCUGCUCUCUCGGAGGAGGAGCAUUCUCGACCGUCUCAGAGCUGCCAGGCAUUCCAGCUAAGGAUGAGAUGGUGACGCCUGAUCAGCCAAGGCGUGGCGGCGGUGGUGGUGUGCGGCACGUUGCCUGAUGGCCUUCCUGCGGCGCGGCACCUCGCGGCACCCGGGCAGCCCUUAUGCGCUUCACGUGCCCUCUUCUCCCCACCGUCUACGUCUAACUACCCUCCGCCCACUGCCCGCCCAACGCCCAGCCCCGCCCGCCCGCUGCCUGCGCAACGUCAGGCCUGCCCCCCCACCCACCAUCUUGGGUCUAUGACCCUUCAACGCUCGCUCCACUUUCUUACAUUCAUCGCGCCUCGUCUCAUCAUUACGACUACCCUGCUGUGACGAUCGCGUUCUCCGAGGCGGUUUGGGCGCUCUCGAUCUCGUUCCCGUUCCAGAUCUCCCAGACGGACCCGAUCUCGAUCACCAAGGUCUGUUUCACAAUCUCCAAGGUAUGAUGACUACCGACGAAGAAGUGAAACUCCCG